rnacentral:rRNA from 1 species
GACGAACGCUGGCGGCGUGCUUAACACAUGCAAGUCGAGCGAUGAAAUUCCUUCGGGAAUGAAUUAGCGGCGGACGGGUGAGUAACACGUGGGUAACCUGCCUCGUAGAGGGGAAUAGCCUUCCGAAAGGAAGAUUAAUACCGCAUAAGAUUGUAGUAUCGCAUGAUAUAGCAAUUAAAGGAGCAAUCCGCUAUGAGAUGGACCCGCGUCGCAUUAGCUAGUUUGUGAGGUAACGGCUCACCAAGGCGACGAUGCGUAGCCGACCUGAGAGGGUGAUCGGCCAAAUUGGGACUGAGACACGGCUCAGACUCCUACGGGAGGCAGCAGUGGGGAAUAUUGCACAAUGGGGGAAACCCUGAUGCAGCAACGCCGCGUGAGUGAUGACGGUCUUCGGAUUGUAAAACUCUGUCUUCAGGGACGAUAAUGACGGUACCUGAGGAGGAAGCCACGGCUAACUACGUGCCAGCCGCCGCAGUAAGAC